rnacentral:rRNA from 1 species
UACAGAGGUGGCAAGCGUUGUUCGGAAUUACUGGGCGUAAAGGGCGCGUAGGCGGUCUUGUCAGUCCCUUGUGAAAUCCCCCGGCUCAACUGGGGAACUGCACGGGAAACAGCAGGGCUUGAAUCCGGGAGAGGGAUGUGGAAUUCCAGGUGUAGCGGUGAAAUGCGUAGAUAUCUGGAGGAACACCGGUGGCGAAGGCGGCAUCCUGGACCGGUAUUGACGCUGAUGCGCGAAAGCCAGGGGAGCAAACGGGG